AUUGAACGCUGGCGGCAGGCCUAACACAUGCAAGUCGAGCGAGCGGCGGACGGGGGAGUAAUGUCUGGGACACUGCCUGAUGGAGGGGGAUAACUACUGGAAACGGUAGCUAAUACCGCAUACCAUCAGAUGUGCCCACAUGGGAUUAGAUAGUAGGUGGGGUAACGGCUCACCUAGGGGACGAUCCCUAGCUGGUCUGAGAGGAUGACCAGCCACACUGGAACUGAGACACGGUCAAGACUCCGCCGGGAGGCAGCAGUGGGGAAUAUUGCACAAUGGGCGCAAGCCUGAUGCAGCCAUGCCGCGUGUGUGAAGAAGGCCUUCGGGUUGUAAAGCACUUUCAGCGGGGAGGCGUUACCCGCAGAAGAAGCACCGGCUAACUCCGUGCCAGCAGCCGCGGUAAUAC
rnacentral:rRNA from 1 species